GUUAGACUACAAUAUAUCAUUUUAAGGUGGAACCUGACAGGUUCGCUGAAUGAGGAACAUGCUGCAUCGAAAUGUAAUUAGAUCAAAGAAUGAGAUUCUGAUUUAUGUUUGCAGGACACUAAAGGGGAGGAGAUGUCCUCCAAGCUGCAUAGACUGCGGUCACGGAUGUCAAAGUUUUUCAAGGACAAAAGCUAACAGUAACAUCCACCCUAAAAGCAAAAGAAAGAGGAUCAGGCCAUCCCUGUACACAAUUGUUGUUCUCUCAGGAAGAUGGAUGCGUGUGUUCCCAGGGCAGAUGGCUGUGAUGCUCCUCUCUGUGCAUGGCUCACAGAUUAACAUCCCGCUCAGGUGUCAGAACUGAUGAGGCAGCACUGGUGUACAGCAUUGCACCAUUUGCAUCAGUGCUGUACUGUUCUGCAAUGUGGGUGGUCAGUUGUUCAAAAUUAAUAUAAUGAGGUGCC
ensembl:lncRNA